ACGGGAUUCCAUGCUUGUGCAUGCAGUGGCCAGCCCUUGAUUAAUCAGCAGUUUCAAAGGCUAUUAAUGACCAACAGGACUGCACCUAAGGCCUAUGUUCAAAGGAUUUAGUGGACUUUGUACUCUGUUUGAUGGAUAGCCCUCCCAAGCUUGAGAGAAGAAAAGCAGAGCUCUUUUUAUAAUUCAUGGUGGUAAGUCAGCAGGGGGAGCAGUAAACUUGAAGUGACAUCCUGUAGGAAGAGAAAGGCCAUCCACUCAGCACAGUGGUUUAUAACACAAGUUAUAGGCCGCUGACUUUCACAUGACCAAAGGUCAGGAGAUGUUCUGAGGAGGAUCCCUUGAGCCUGGUGAUUAGCCUCUAAAAAGGGGACCUGCUGUUCAAGGGUCAAGCCUUCAGUACAUUGCUCAGGCCCUGGGAACACUAACAGUGGACCUCCUGGCUUGGUAAGUACCAGAUUGUUCUAAUAUGUGGCUUCCAGAGAAGAAUCAUUUAGCCAGACAGAAGACUUGAAAGUGAAAUGAGAUCUCUGGCUAGAGCUCAUUCCAGUAUCACUGUUACUGCAUGAGGCUAAGGUUAAUUUUGAGAUUCCCUCUCAUUAACUGUGUCCUCUGCUAUCCUCAGAGGACAUUUUGUUUAAAGUUGUGUUCACACAUUGUUUUAUUCUCUCUCUGCAACUGAAUCGUGAGAUCCCUAAGGAUACUGCUGCCUGGUAUGGCUUUGUACACCCCUCCCCAGUGUCCUCCAGAGUGGCUGGGACCCAGGGAAUGAUGACUCCUAGAUUAGGACUUUCUUUCAGAAAGUAGGAGGGUGGAAGGAUAACCCUUUCCCUGGUAAUGGCCACUUUUCAACCAGGAUUGUUUUCACUUGUUGACUGCUUAUUUCUUUUCAUGAUAUUUUAAGACUAAAUUUGCUGUAAAUGAUAAAAGUAAUAUAACUACCCUAUAGCAAACUUGGAAAAU